UGGCUCAGGACGAACGCUGGCGGCGUGCCUAAUACAUACACGUCGAGCGAGCGAAACUAACAGAUUUACUUCGGUAAUGACGUUAGGAAAGCGAGCGGCGGAUGGGUGAGUAACACGUGGGGAACCUGCCCCAUAGUCUGGGAUACCACUUGGAAACAGGUGCUAAUACCGGAUAAGAAAGCAGAUCGCAUGAUCAGCUUUUAAAAGGCGGCGUAAGCUGUCGCUAUGGGAUGGCCCCGCGGUGCAUUAGCUAGUUGGUAAGGUAAAGGCUUACCGAGGCGAUGAUGCAUAGCCGAGUUGAGAGACUGAUCGGCCACAUUGGGACUGAGACACGGCCCAAACUCCUACGGGAGGCAGCAGUAGGGAAUCUUCCACAAUGGACGCAAGUCUGAUGGAGCAACGCCGCGUGAGUGAAGAAGGUUUUCGGAUCGUAAAGCUCUGUUGUUGGUGAAGAAGGAUAGAAGUAGUAACUGGCCUUUAUUUGACGGUAAUCAACCAGAAAGUCACGGCUAACUACGUGCCAGCAGCCGCGGUAAUACGUAGGUGGCAAGCGUUGUCCGGAUUUAUUGGGCGUAAAGCGAGCGCAGGCGGAAGAAUAAGUCUGAUGUGAAAGCCCUCGGCUUAACCGAGGAACUGCAUCGGAAACUGUUUUUCUUGAGUGCAGAAGAGGAGAGUGGAACUCCAUGUGUAGCGGUGGAAUGCGUAGAUAUAUGGAAGAACACCAGUGGCGAAGGCGGCUCUCUGGUCUGCAACUGACGCUGAGGCUCGAAAGCAUGGGUAGUGAACAGGAUUAGAUACCCUGGUAGUCCAUGCCGUAAACGAUGAGUGCUAAGUGUUGGGAGGUUUCCGCCUCUCAGUGCUGCAGCUAACGCAUUAAGCACUCCGCCUGGGGAGUACGACCGCAAGGUG
rnacentral:rRNA from 1 species